rnacentral:rRNA from 1 species
GAUGAACGCUGGCGGCGUGCCUAAUACAUGCAAGUCGAGCGAACGGACGAGAAGCUUGCUUCUCUGAUGUUAGCGGCGGACGGGUGAGUAACACGUGGAUAACCUACCUAUAAGACUGGGAUAACUUCGGGAAACCGGAGCUAAUACCGGAUGAUAUUUUGAACCGCAUGGUUCAAAAGUGAAAGACGGUCUUGCUGUCACUUAUAGAUGGAUCCGCGCUGCAUUAGCUAGUUGGUAAGGUAACGGCUUACCAAGGCAACGAUGCAUAGCCGACCUGAGAGGAUGAUCAGGGAAAAUGGAAAUGAGCCACGGUGAAGACGGCGACGGGCGGCAGCAGUGGGGAAGAUUGGACAAGGGGCGAAAGCCGGAUCAAGCAAUGCCGCGUGAGUGAAGAAGGUCUUCGGAUUGUAAAGCACUUUAAGUUGGGAGGAAGGGCAGUAAGUGAAUACCUUGCUGUUUGGAAGUUACCAAAAGAAUAAGGACCGGCUAACUUCGUG